ACGCACGCUGGCGGCGUGCUUAACACAUGCAAGUCGAACGGAAAGGCCCUGCUUUUGUGGGGUGCUCGAGUGGCGAACGGGUGAGUAACACGUGAGUAACCUGCCCUUGACUUUGGGAUAACUUCAGGAAACUGGGGCUAAUACCGGAUAGGAGCUCCUGCUGCAUGGUGGGGGUUGGAAAGUUUCGGCGGUUGGGGAUGGACUCGCGGCUUAUCAGCUGGUUGGUGGGGUAGUGGCUUACCAAGGCUUUGACGGGGAGCCGGCCUGAGAGGGUGACCGGCCACAUUGGGACUGAGAUACGGCCCAGACUCCUACGGGAGGCAGCAGUGGGGAAUAUUGCACAAUGGGCGGAAGCCUGAUGCAGCAACGCCGCGUGCGGGAUGACGGCCUUCGGGUUGUAAACCGCUUUCGCCUGUGACGAAGCGUGAGUGACGGUAAUGGGUAAAGAAGCACCGGCUAACUACGUG
rnacentral:rRNA from 1 species